GAUGAACGCUGGCGGCGUGCCUAAUACAUGCAAGUCGAGCGAACGGACGAGAAGCUUGCUUCUCUGAUGUUAGCGGCGGACGGGUGAGUAACACGUGGAUAACCUACCUAUAAGACUGGGAUAACUUCGGGAAACCGUAGCUAAUACCGGAUAAUAUUUUGAACCGCAUGGUUCAAAAGUGAAAGACGGUCUUGCUGUCACUUAUAGAUGGAUCCGCGCUGCAUUAGCUAGUUGGUAAGGUAACGGCUUACCAAGGCAACGAUGCAUAGCCGACCUGAGAGGGUUAGCGGCCACACUGGAACUGAGACACGGUCCAGACUCCUACGGGAGGCAGCAGUAGGGAAUCUUCCGCAAUGGGCGAAAGCCUGACGGAGCAACGCCGCGUGAGUGAUGAAGGUCUUCGGAUCGUAAAACUCUGUUAUUAGGGAAGAACAUAUGUGUAAGUAACUGUGCACAUCUUGACGGUACCUAAUCAGAAAGCCACGGCUAACUACGUG
rnacentral:rRNA from 1 species